CAAUCCUGCUGCCCAAAACCAUCAGCAAGCAGAGGCAUUGCAGACAUUUCUCGGUAGCAGAAGGCUGAGCAUUACAAGACAAAGUAUUUCAGGUGCAUGCCUAGCUGGAUGGCACAGCAACCUCCAACACAAUCAGGGAAACUGCAUGCAAAGAGUUAUUUUUGAGGGAUUUGUAAGAUCCAGCUCAGUAGUACAGGAGGCAGCAGCACCUGAGAGAGCAGUGCUCUCCCACGCAAGGCUCCUGGCCCUCAGAAAUUUCCCAUGUGCACUGUUUUGCUUCUAGGCCAGUGUGGGUGUGAUAUGUGUUACCUUAGCAACAGGGACAAGUGCCUGCUGCAGCUGUAGCCUUCUCUUUGCAGCAGGAGAGCAUCCCUGGUUUUCUUACAGAAAAUGCUGUGCAGCUCCCCACAAAGAGGACCCCGGUGCCUGUGGCUAUCAACGUGCUGGCACGCAGGGCACAGAUACAGAUAUGAGCUAUGGCUGACGCAGACAUGUCUUCCCUCCUACCCCCUGCUCCAGCUCAUCUCUUCUGGCCUCCAGAGAACAUCAUCUGAGUCAGUCUGGCAGGAGCAGGAUCAGCAGCUUUGUGCAGCCCCCUCCAUCAUUUCUCGAGUCAGAUGGCUCCCACAGCUCAAGGCUUUUUACUAAACUUGAAUGCCAGAGGAUGUCUAAGUGCUUUAUGAAUAUCUGGAGGAAACAAAUGCAGCAGCCAAGGCAUUGGUACCCAUUAAUCACUUAGGGAGUGAUUAAUUCACCGGGGGAGAAUUUUAAAGAAUAGACACUCAGGAAGCAGGGGGGUGUUUGUUAGGUAGACCCACCCAAUAUAAAGCCAGUAUAAAUGCUGCAAAACUCCAUAAAUGCAGUAAAUCCAGUGAGGCAUAAAACCUAUGGAAAUUCAGUUUCUCACAGAAUUUUGAUUCUGCCCUGGCUUUCGUCCUCUGUUGAACUUUGGGACUUGUAACAACAUGGUAAAUAUAAACAUAUCUAUAAAUGUACAUAAAGGUGUGUUCCCCAAAUGUAUUUAACAGUCCUUUUUUUUAAUGCAUCACCAACACAUAUGUUUGAGAACAAAGUAUGCAUAGAUUCAAAAUUUUAAGGUAACUCUACAUUAAAAGUUCUAAGAAGAGCUACUCCUGGAAAAAAAAAAAUAAACUCGUUAAAACAUUUGCUGAAAUAGUCAAAUGUAUGUAUUGCUGCAAACAUAGGAAAAAGGAGCACUUAUCCUCGCUUUUAAAUUAACUGCAACAACUUACAUCACUUACAAGUUCUUCAGUGUUUUUGAACACUUUGUGUUUCACUUGCACUUAGUGCAUAUGACUGCAGCCAGGAGCAAACGUACUUCUGGCAAACCUGGUCUUCCACAGGCUGUUAGCGACAAGGGGGAUGCCCUCAGCCCCCAGCGUCACAUGACUAAGGGGAAGGGACGGGGGACACGAAAGCUCUCCCUCCGUCCGCUCCCGCCCACGCCGGGCCGUGGCCCUGCCCACCCCAACGGGGUUUUUGCCCUUCAAAACAUCAAGAUGUUUCGUAAUAAACAAAGCGGUGGAGGAGUCACCCUGUCAACGCUUCCCCUUUUGUUGGAGCCGGCAUCUUCCCCUGGCAGCCAUUUUACGCGGCCCCGAACGCCACGCUGUGCUUGCGGGGAAACGCAAUCCACAACACCGCGGCUCCGGAGCUCAGGCGGGCGUCGGAUAUACGUCCUGCUAAUCACUUUAAAAAGACAGGAAACAUCACCAAAAACAAGCCUUAUCGCAGUUCAACUCUCGCGGGUAUCUGCGGAGUACCGGGGUGGGGGGGGGAGCGGGGCUGUCCGUGAAGGCGGGCCCCCCCCGCGCGCCCACGCCCCGCGCUAGCGUCCGCACGCAGCCAAUCAGCGGCGCGAGCGCCCCUUUCCUCCCCCCCAGUCCGCCGCAGCCCGCCCGCCCGCCCGCUGCGGCGCCGCCGGAGCCGUCGCUGCGCCGGGCCGCGCUACCGCCGCCGCUCCGCCAUGUGGCUGCUGGCCGUCUCCGUGCUGCUCGGCGCUCUGCGCGCAGGUUCUGCCCAGUUGUCACUUUCUGGGGCAAGUGUUAUAGAAAAAAAUGACUGUAAUGACACUGUAGUUUUGCCUUGUUACGUGACUAAUCUAAAGCAGAACAGUGAAAAUGCCAUGUUUGUUACAUGGAAAAAGGAAGGAGUUACAAUUUUUUCUUAUCAUGGAGGAAACAAGAAGUUUAAUAGAGAUCCCUCGUUUUUGUCUGCAAGAUUUUUAUCCCAGCCGGAUUUAAUCAAGGGUGUGGCCUCACUGGUGCUUGGCAGUGAACAAGCAACUGUUGGAAAUUACAGCUGUAAAGUAACAGAAUCAAACAGAGAAGGUGAAAUAAAAAUGGAACUUAAAAACAGCUCAGUGUCUGCAGAGAUCUUUUCUUGGAAGAAUUGCUUCCUGCAACUUUUAACUCUGCUGGAAACUACAGUUGUCAGUUGCGGCGACGAAACACCAGAGGAAAAAUGUGGAUCAUGGUUCCUUCUAGUGGAGAGGGCUGUCAUCAUAUCAUUGGUGUGCUUACUUGUUAUUUUAUGUGCAGCUCAGUUAAGUUUUAUUGGAUUAAAAUAUGAAAUUGAAUCUCAGAGGAAAGUGUGCAUUAUUGUAGCACUUGUCAUCUUUGCAGUUGUAGCUGGUAUAGGUGCUGCUCUUUUUAUCCAAGAUGGCUAUACUGUACAGAAUCAGGCUGGUCUUGGCCUAAUUGUAAUCCCUGCUGUGAUUUUGGUACCGCUUCAGUACGUCAUGUUUGGAAUUGUUUUUGACAGUCUACUGCAGGCAACGUUGGCUCUGAUAGGUUUGAAACUUCUUGGGUUUAUAAUUGCUGUAGUUGGUUUUGCACUGUGUGUCCCAGCAUGUCCUCCAUUACAUGGGUCUGUUCUGAUUGCUGGCUUAGCUAUCAUGGCUAUUGCAAGUUUGCUUAGUCUGGCUUACGUGUUUAUUAUGGGUUCCAGAAUGAAAGAUCAUCCUCGUCCAGGGAAUCACUACUUACUGUAUAUGUCAAUUAGAGUAAUUUAACUGUGGCCAGCCAGAAGUAAACAUGAAGGCUUUUUAUACAUAUAUAUAUUUUUAAAUGUUUUGCAGAAAGCUGUAGAAGAACCACUAAAUGAUGCAAAAGGAGUGAUGUUAGAAUGAUGAACUGCAGAGUUAUGUGAUGCGUAUAUAAAAAGUACACCGUUGUUGAUACACCGUGGCCUUGAAGAUGCACUACUCAUCAAGAAGAAAUUCAGGAUUCUAGUUGUUUUGCAUGUGUGGCAGAAGUGCUUUUGAUAUAAAUGACAUAAUUUUAUAGUCACAGCAGCUGUAGCAAGGAACAUGUGUGUUUGCCCACAUGUGAUCUUUAUUUUCUUUUGUUAUGGUGUAUAUGGGAUGGUUGAGGGUGAGAAUAUAAAAAGCACUAUUUGCCCAGUACAGAGUCUCCCUGCAGUAAUCCUUAGUGGUAUUAUUUUCAAAAACUGUCAUUAAUCACUGCUUUGAUAAUGGGGCCUGCUGAGCCCAGAGAUUGCAAUACCAUUUAGACUAUUGUUUUCUUUAUUUGUGUGCAUGGACAAAGUAUGGUUUAUGUGUAUGAUACAAGCAGGAAGUAGAGAUUGUACAAAUACAUAUUUUCUGACAAUUCAGCAAAUUUUUAUUAAAGAAAUACAAAGUUACACACAAAGUUGCAUUAGUACAAAGUUUACUCCCAGCUCUCCUGAAAUUAUUAACAAAGUUCUAAUUCCACAAGAUGUUAGUAUUCCUCUCUGUGAACAGUAGUCAUGUGUGAUCUGGUGGCUGAUAUUUUUGUCCAUUGAGAGGGCUCUCCAUUCCUCCUCUGUAUCCUUUGAAGAGAAACUGCUCAGCUGUUGGAGCCUAAUUCAGCACUAGAAUUACAGAGCACAGGAGCUGGUAAUCUUAAUGCUGAAUUUGGUUCUUGUGUGUGUUCAUGUUGUGCAGUGUGUAGAAUUGGAAGCAACUUCAGGCUUUCUUAACCCAGUGAAUUUGUGAAAGUUGUGGACGCUUCAUAAAAAUAGAAGUUUCCUGUUUAGUAUAUUUUUGACAGUUCAAAACCUUGUUUUCUUGAAUGGAAAAGAGCUAUAUAAUUUCUGGCCCAGGUUUGUGUUGCUGCCAUUACAUCACAAAUAUAUAAAAUAAAAAGUAGGAGCUGACGAGGAGUGAGGAAGCUCAGUUUCUGUAUAUAUCUAAUGAUAUGGUUAAAAAUCAGUUUACUAGGACUUGCACAUUCCAUGAGAUUCUGCUAUGUUUUACAGCUAUUUUGAGAGUUGUUCCAAUAUAUUUGGCUGCUCUUGGACUUUGUGUAUGCUUUGUAGAAAUCUUGACACUGUUUCCUGUUUAUACUAAGGUACUGUAUUUCAAAGGCACACAUGGUUUUCUCCUUCUAACAAUUUAAAUCUUGAUUUGGAAAGCUGUUGCCAAACAGUCACGUAAUAAAAUCCAUGUUCUUAAAGAUCCUGAGUAAUUUGGCAGUUCUCAGAAUUGAAUGUUACAAACCAAGGUUCAUAUCCAUGUUGUGGGUGCAUGUUGCAGGGAUUUGGGUCUCUGCAUGUUGAACUCUGAAUCACAUUAAGAAUUCAACAAAGCAAAAUUGAGGUGUCUGAUUUUACAGUAGGUGCUGUCGUAAUAGUCUGUCUUGCCAAGGCUGCAGGAUUGAGCCAUUUAAAGCAAGCUAUGGGCCAGCCCUCCCUGGGAUCAGUGGAACUGGACACAGGGAAGAGGAUCACCCAUGUGAUAAAAUAUGGGAGAGUCGUGUAUGGCUCAGAUUUACUGUCCUACUUUGCCAGUGGGAGUAUUUACGUAAGGUUUGCGCUCUUACAGAUUAAUCUUUUGGUGCAGGUUUUUCCAUAAUCUCAGUGAUACCUAACUAAAGAUGGGAGAUGGUUCUCCAUUAUAAUUCAGAAUAAAAAUUUUUCUAAUUUAGUACUGUGCAAUGCUCCCUGUUUAUAACUGGUGAUUCCCUCUGGCAAGUUGAAAGUCUUAGCAGCAGAGGAAUAAAAAACCAAAUUAACUGGAAUUCUGUUGAGGUUUUCUGCCUUAUAAAAACACUUUUAUAUAUAAUAGCUUUAUGUUAAUUUCUGUAAAGCAAACUGCAGCAGAACCCUGCUGUGUCACCGUGGGAUCAGGCCAAGCUGUUCCUAGGAAUUGUCAAAACCUGAGGAGCUCAGUGGCUGGCUAUGGCCUGCAGAAUCAUGGCCCCAGAAAUGGGAGAAACCCACCAUCCUUUUGCAUUAAGGGCUGGAUUUCUUGUAGGUGAGAAUUUAAAAGUGAGAGUUCAAAAAGUCAUUGGUACACCUAGCCAGCCCUUUCCCACCAGUAAUUUAAACCAAAGUUGUUCAUAACUGUAUGCUUUCAUUUGUGUGUGUACAUGUGUGUAUAUAUAAAUAUAUAGACAUUUUAAAUAUCUAUAGAUCUAUAGUCUUUACCCAAGAAACUGUUUUUAUUUAUGAAAUAUGAAAUGAUUUUGUAAGUAUUGUGCUAAUAUUCUUUAAAAAUAAAGUCAUUUUAAGUUGUUUUUGCAGGAGAUUUUCUUGUUGCUGGCACAUUGAACUUCUGUAGCUGCUUCCAUAAAUUCAUAGUCGUAGCUGCUCUUCUCCCUGUCUUAAUGUAUUACUUACUGGAUAUACAGGAAUGUUCUUAGGGUUACAUAGGCUGCUGCAGAUGAUUUUGGGUGUGUUUCUCCUUAGAAAGGUCACCCAGAUGGUGAAGUGGGUGGUGUGUAGGCUGCCUUCAGUAGCCUACACACUGAAGUAAUAACUUCAGUUGUGCUCUCCAACAUCAGCCAUCAAGUGUUGUCGCCCGAGUGUGCUGUGGGAGGAAAUGAGUAACCAGCUGCUGCCGCCACUGUAACUUCAGAAACAGCAGUGCAGCACCUCUGUUCAGUCUGUCUUUGCAGCCCUGAAAUGGUAUUGCUGUGGGAAGAGUAUCCCUUUUGUUACUGCUGAAGCACUGCUGGAUGAGUUCUGGAUUUCCUGAAGUUGUCUUUAAUGUUCAUUUGACUGCGGAGAGAGGAGCUGCAAGUCAUGCCUGGUAGGCUUUCCACUCACACAUCCUCUUCAGUGCAGCUGAGCUGAUGGGAACAGUGGAAAUUAUUGACAAUUCCCUUGCUUGUUCAAGGUGACUUUUAACUGUGACUGUUGAACUUCAGUUUCUCUACAGAAAUGUUUUGCAACUUCUCUAGACACACUUUUCUCUCUAAAGGAGCCAUGAACCACAAUUUGAGGUAUUUAAACAGAAUUUUAACAGUUUUAGAAUUUUCUGUGCAGGGACGCAACUGCAGAGUGAACUGCAAGCUCAAGAAAACUGGUCUUAAAGCUCAGGAAAACUGCAUGCUGAACUUCGGGAUGAGAGAAAUGGUGCUAAUCUAAAUGUAUGUGACUGGAAAAUAUCUCAACACAGUACCAUCAGUGAUGCCCAGUACCUGUUAUCCAGACUGCUCCAGUCAGUUCAGCCAGGAAAACCAACUCAGACCUGAACUUCCAGUCCAGAAGCCUUCUGAAAGCGCUUGAUCAGAGCUCCGUAAUUCAGCAGUUGCUACAGAGUUACCUGCCUAAGAGUAGAAGUGGACAGCCUCUGGUUCAUUUCCACUUAGCAGAAGAAUUUAUAUUUCUUUCCUAUGGAAAAUAAUGCUUUUGUGCUCUAGUGCUCUGUGCCUUUGUCAUAUAUGCAGCCAGUACUGUCAUGGACUUACUAUACCUGCUUCCUGUAUCCUUGAGGAUUCUUGCAAAGCUUUCAGGAUGAAAAAGUGAGCUGAACUUCCUCUA